rnacentral:rRNA from 2 species
UUCCGGUUGAUCCUGCCAGACCUGACUGCUAUCGGAUUGAUACUAAGCCAUGCGAGUCAUUGUAGCAAUACAAGGCAGACGGCUCAGUAACGCGUAGUCAACCUACCCUAUGGACGGGAAUAACCUCGGGAAACUGAGAAUAAUGCCCGAUAGAACAUUAUGCCUGGAAUGGUUUGUGUUCCAAAUGAUUUAUCGCCGUAGGAUGGGACUGCGGCCUAUCAGUUUGUUGGUGAGGUAAUGGCCCACCAAGACUAUUACAGGUACGGGCUCUGAGAGGAGUGGCCCGGAGAUGGGUACUGAGACACGGACCCAGGCCCUAUGGGGCGCAGCAGGCGAGAAAACUUUGCAAUGUGCGAAAGCACGACAAGGUUAAUCCGAGUGGUUUCUGCUAAAGGAACCUUUUGACAGUCCUAGAAACACUGUUGAAUAAGGGGUGGGCAAGUUCUGGUGUCAGCCGCCGCGGUAAAACCAGCACCUCAAGUGGUCAGGAUGAUUAUUGGGCCUAAAGCAUCCGUAGCCGGCUCUGUAAGUUUUCGGUUAAAUCUAUACGCUCAACGUAUAGGCUGCCGGGAAUACUGCAGAGCUAGGGAGUGGGAGAGGUAGACGGUACUCGGUAGGAAGGGGUAAAAUCCUUUGAUCUAUUGAUGACCACCUGUGGCGAAAGCGGUCUACCAGAACACGUCCGACGGUGAGGGAUGAAAGCUGGGGGAGCAAACCGGAUUAGAUACCCGGGUAGUCCCAGCUGUAAACUAUGCAAACUCAGUGAUGCAUUGGCUUGUGGCCAAUGCAGUGCUGCAGGGAAGCCGUUAAGUUUGCCGCCUGGGAAGUACGUACGCAAGUAUGAAACUUAAAGGAAUUGGCGGGGGAGCACCACAAGGGGUGAAGCCUGCGGUUCAAUUGGAUUCAACGCCGGG